rnacentral:rRNA from 1 species
UACGUAGGGGGCAAGCGUUGUCCGGAAUCAUUGGGCGUAAAGAGCGUGUAGGCGGCCUGAUAAGUCGGCUGUGAAAGUCAAGGGCUCAACCCUUGAAUGCCGGCCGAUACUGUCAGGCUAGAGUCCGGAAGAGGCGAGUGGAAUUCCUGGUGUAGCGGUGAAAUGCGCAGAUAUCAGGAGGAACACCGAUGGCGAAGGCAGGUCUCUGGGCAUUAACUGACGCUGAGACGCGAAAGCGUGGGGAGCAAACAGG